rnacentral:sRNA from 1 species
GAAGGAGACGAAAAAGAAACCCAUUUGGAAGAGGAGAGGAGACUUUUUUAUGUGGCUAUGACAAGAGCAAAAAAAGAGCUUUAUCUAACUUCGGCGGA